rnacentral:rRNA from 1 species
GAACCGUCCAAACGUUUAUUCGGAAUCAUUGGGCUUAAAGGGUGCGUAGGCGGUGCGGUCAGUUGGGUGUGAAAUCCCUCGGCUCAACCGAGGAACUGCGCCCAAUACUGCCGCGCUCGAGGGAGACAGAGGUAAGCGGAACUGAUGGUGGAGCGGUGAAAUGCGUUGAUAUCAUCAGGAACACCAGUGGCGAAGGCGGCUUACUGGGUCUCUUCUGACGCUGAGGCACGAAAGCUAGGGGAGCGAACGGGGGAUUAGAUACCCCGGUAGUCCUAGCGGUAAACGAUGAGCACUUGAUCGGAGGCUCCUCCAUAGGUUUCCGGUCGUAGCGAAAGUGUUAAGUGCUCCGCCGUGGGGAGUAUGGUCGCAAGGCUG